AAGGGCACCACAAGAACGCGUGGAGCAUGUGGCUUAAUUUGACUCAACGCGGGAAAUCUUACCGGGUCCGGACACACUGAGGAUUGACAGGCAAUUAUUAAAAUGCGUCUCGCGCGUGUUUUAUGUUAAAUAUGCUAGUCCUUUCAUGAUUAUGUGAUAGGUGGUGCAUGGCCGUUCUUAGUUCGUGGAGUGAUCUGUCUGCUUAAUUGCGUUUCACUAAGGACUCUAGAUACUACGUGCGUUGCUUUAACCGCAGCUCUGACCCUUAACUGUGUGUCUUUGUUGCUGGUUGGCACGCACCUCUGAGUCCUCUUAGCAACGAACGUGACCGCAUCCUCUUGUUGCCUUUUUCUUUAGCUUCAGCUCAGGUUUUCUGUGUUGUUUGCUUUGUGAAGGCUCUUUAAAACUAGAGGGACCGCUGUACCUUUUUAAACCAGAGGAAGGUUGCGGCAAUAACAGGUCUGUGAUGCCCUUAGAUGUUCCGGGCUGCACACGUGCUACAAUGAUUGUUGCAGUGAGCAUCUCUUUUUUGAUACACCGCUUGCGUUGAUAGCUUGUUGUUUUUGCACUUCGGUGUGAAGCUUCAAGUUUUAUUUAACGCGCGGUUAAGCCUACUUCGAAAGUUGUGGGUAAUCAAUUAGAAGUAACGAUUUCCCUUCUUUUGCACAUCUAUGCACGGCUUUCACGUCCGGCUAAGCUUGUCUUAGUUUUGCGCACGUGAUUGUUUUUUCUGUGCGUGCAAUUGUUAAUUCAUGGUGGGGACAGACCAUUGUUAAUUGUUGGUCUCGGUCUCAACUAGGAAUGCCUUGUACGGGUCUUUGGUUCAACAAACCACCCGGAAUACGUCCCUGCCCUUUGUACACACCGCCCGUCGCUCUUACCGAUGGACUUCUCUGUGAGUUUGANGGACUGGAUCUUUUGAUCUAUGGAAACUUAANNNNNNNNNNNNUNUAAAGGAAAGAGAAGUCGAACANNGCA
rnacentral:rRNA from 1 species